UACUGGCGCAGCCUGAUCAGCCAUGCCGCGUGAGUGAUGAAGGCCUUAGGGUUGUAAAGCUCUUUCACCGGUGAAGAUAAUGACGGUAUCCGGAGAAGAAGCCCCGGCUAACUUCGUGCCAGCAGCCGCGGUAAUAGAAUAUG
rnacentral:rRNA from 1 species